rnacentral:siRNA from 1 species
UAAUGCCUGUAGCAGUAUUCGACC